rnacentral:rRNA from 1 species
GACGAACGCUGGCGGCGUGCUUAACACAUGCAAGUCGAACGGAAAGGCCCUGCUUUUGUGGGGUGCUCGAGUGGCGAACGGGUGAGUAACACGUGAGUAACCUGCCCUUGACUUUGGGAUAACUUCAGGAAACUGGGGCUAAUACCGUAUAGGAGCUCCUGCUGCAUGGUGGGGGUUGGAAAGUUUCGGCGGUUGGGGAUGGACUCGCGGCUUAUCAGCUUGUUGGUGGGGUAGUGGCUUACCAAGGCUUUGACGGGUAGCCGGCCUGUGAGGGUGACCGGCCACAUUGGGACUGAGAUACGGCCCAGACUCCUACGGGAGGCAGCAGUGGGGAAUAUUGCACAAUGGGCGGAAGCCUGAUGCAGCAACGCCGCGUGCGGGAUGACGGCCUUCGGGUUGUAAACCGCUUUCGCCUGUGACGAAGCGUGAGUGACGGUAAUGGGUAAAGAAGCACCGGCUAACUACGUG